rnacentral:rRNA from 1 species
GAGUGGCGAACGGGUGAGUAACACGUGGAUGACCUGCCCCGAAGUGGGGGAUAACCUUGGGAAACCAGGACUAAUCCCGCAUGUGCUUGUUGGUUGUGACUAACAAGGAAAGAUUUAUCGCUUUGGGAUGGAUCCGCGGGCCAUCAGCUAGUUGGUGAGGUAAAGGCUCACCAAGGCGACGACGGCUAGCCGGCCUGAGAGGGUGAACGGCCACAGGGGUACUGAGACACGGACCCCACUCCUACGGGAGGCAGCAGUUAGGGAUCUUCCACAAUGGGCGAAAGCCUGAUGGAGCGACACUGCGUGAGGGAAGAAGGCUUUCGGGUUGUAAACCUCUAAAAGUAGGACGAUAAUGACGGUACUACUUGAGAAGCACCGGCUAACUCCGUGCCAGCAGCCGCGGUAAUACGGAGGGUGCAAACGUUAUCCGGAAUCACUGGGCGUAAAGGGCACGCAGGCGGUUAGUUAAGUCUGAUGUUAAAGCGUGGGGCUCAACCCCAUACAGGCGUUGGAUACUGGCUAACUAGACUCUUGGAGAGGUAAGUAGAAUUACCAGUGUACCGGUGGAAUGCGUAAAUACUGGUAGGAAUACCAAUACGAAGGCGCUUUCUAGACAAUGAGUGACCUUAAGUGCAAAGUGUGGGGAGCAAACCGGAUUAAAACCCGGGUAGCCCACCCCUAAACAAUGCUUACUUUGGGUUUGGG